rnacentral:rRNA from 1 species
UACGUAGGGAGCAAGCGUUGUCCGGAAUCAUUGGGCGUAAAGCGCGCGUAGGUGGCCUCAUAAGUCCGCUGUGAAAGUCAAAGGCUCAACCUUUGAAAGCCGGUGGAUACUGUGAGGCUAGAGUACGGAAGAGGCGAGUGGAAUUCCUGGUGUAGCGGUGAAAUGCGCAGAUAUCAGGAGGAACACCGGUGGCGAAGGCGGGUCUCUGGGCAGCAACUGACGCUGAGGAGCGAAAGCGUGGGGAGCGAACAGG